AAUUGAUCAAGAAAAUCCUCUUUAUUACAUGUAAAAGAGGAAAAAUAUGGCUCAAUUUCUCUUAUUUGUUUAUUUUAUUAUCAUCAUUGUUUCUCUUUUUCUUGUUGAAGCAAGGGAACCAACUAAAAUUCCAUGUGUUUCUGACAGUGAUUGUCACAAGGUCAAAAAACCUCUACUUUUAACGUGUAUUGAUGGUAUUUGUCAAUACACUUUAGAAGCUACACCAUUUGAUUGAUGUUUAUUUGGUGUCUAAAUUUAAUUGUAUUUAUAUGCAUUGCACUCUUUUUCCUUUAGCGUAUUUUAUAUCAUUGUGUUUUUAUUUUUAAGUUUUUAAUGAGACACUUGUUUGUAAUAUUUGUUCUCUUGGGUUUUGGUCUAGUCCCCUAAGAUUUUUUUUUCUCUAUUUAUGAAGUUUUAAUAAUAUGUUCUUUGAGGUGUUCAUUUGGGAUGUCUAUACAAAACUAUAAUAUAUAAAAUCAAUGAAUUGUAUUUGUACUUGAUAAUGUUUAUACUUUUAUGA